CGGUCGAGGCCCAAACGCCGUUACAAGUUUUCCCUAGGUGAUCCUGCGGAAUGAUCAUUAUCGUAACAAAAUGUGAGGGGCAUGUGAGGGCUGUCGCUGACUCAAUCGUCGUGCACGCCCGAGCGUGUCCUCUCACAUAAUAAUCCAUCUCACCCCUUGUGCAUCGCCGCGUGGGCACCCUUUGGGAUCAUCUCGGAGGGGGCUCGCGUUUUCUCACAAACCCCCCUUUUAAAAGUGUAGAAUGACCUCAUUUAUGCGCUAACCCGUAAUCAAUACAACUUUCAACAACGGAUCUCUUGGCUCUCGCAUCGAUGAAGAACGCAGCGAAAUGCGAUACGUAAUGUGAAUUGCAGAAUUCAGUGAAUCAUCGAAUCUGUGAACGCACCUUGCGCCCCUUGGUAUUCCGAGGGGCACACCCGUUUGAGUGUCGGUGAAAACCUCAGCCUCCUUGGUUUCUUCUGGAGACCAAAGCAGGCUUGGACUUUGGAGGAACUUUGCUGGCACCUCUCUCUUUUGAAGGUCAGCUCCUCUUAAAUGAAUUAGCAGGGUCCGUUUGCUGAUCCUCGACGUGUGAUAAGAUGUUUCCAUGUCUUGGUUUCUGGCUCUGUCCUCUUGGGACCCGCUUCUAACCGUCUUGACCUUGCGUCGAGACAAUGUUCGAGCAUGUCUCCCAUCUUGGAAGCCCCCUCGACCCCACGAACCCUUGACCUCAAAUCGGGUGGGACCACCCGCUGAUCUUAAGCAUUGCUGAGCUGA
rnacentral:rRNA from 1 species